GUGGGGAAUAUUGGACAAUGGGCGAAAGCCUGAUCCAGCCAUGCCGCGUGAGUGAUGAAGGCCUUAGGGUUGUAAAGCUCUUUCAGUAGGGAAGAUAAUGACGGUACCUACAGAAGAAGCCCCGGCUAACUUCGUGCCAGCAGCCGCGGUAAUACGAAGGGGGCUAGCGUUGUUCGGAUUUACUGGGCGUAAAGCGCACGUAGGCGGAUUGGUUAGUUAGAGGUGAAAUCCUGGAGCUCAACUCCAGAACUGCCUUUAAUACUGCCAGUCUAGAGUCCAGAAGAGGUGAGUGGAACUCCUAGUGUAGAGGUGGAAUUCGUAGAUAUUAGGAAGAACACCAGUGGCGAAGGCGGCUCACUGGUCUGGUACUGACGCUGAGGUGCGAAAGCGUGGGGAGCAAACAGGAUUAGAAACCCGGGUAGUCC
rnacentral:rRNA from 1 species